UUAAUAGCAAAGUUAUAGUAUUAUUACCGAGUCCAGGCAACCCCCGACCGGAAACACUAUAAAAGCGAGCCUUCGGUGCCCUUCGCCCCUUAUUUUUGUGCGUGGCGUUCGUGCGUGGCGGUUCUUGUCGAGACUUGUGUAAUUUUAAGUUUUGUUAACAGUAGAUUAAAGCCAUUUUGUUAGUUUUCGCUAUUUACCUACUAAAAUAUAUUGUGUUCUAGUUCUAUGUAAUUUCUCUCUGUUUUUUUUAACUUCCUCACUUCUGGUCGAUAAUAUCAGAAGUGGGAUCGAACCACGUGUUUUUAAAAAGAUGACGGGACGUCGAUCUAGAGGAGAGAGACGCGACCGUUCUCAUCAACGCCAUCGUGACCGUUCGAGUUCUCGAUCUAGGAGUCGGUUGCGCAAAUCACCGUCCAUGCCUAAGCGUCGCGAUCGUUCUAUAAGCAGGAGUAGCGAGACACCUACGCGACGUGAUGACUCCUGGCAUGGUUCCCGCGGGCGUACUUUGAACCAUAUACUCGCGAAAUUAACGGCUAUAGAAGGCACUCUACCGGUACCGUCUAAUAGUAACACGCCGUCACGCUCGGAUACCGAACGCCACGCGCAGUUAUCUUUGCCUCCAGCAUCAACGACUCACCACGUCACAGGAAGUAACACGCUUGAGACCGCUGGAGUAGCGUCAUCAAAGUCGGUGGGCCAGGGUAGCGAUGCUGGUCAACAAGAGGACGUCACGGACAGGAUUGUUGGAGCAUUACAGGCGCUAUCUAAAGUAAGGUCUCAAAAUUACUAUAUUUCUCCUUUCAAUCCAAGUGUGCAUGAUUUUGACGUAUGGAGUGCGGAAGUUGAUCGUGCUAAAGAAAUAAAUGCUUGGGCCGAUGAGGAAUGCCUUGGGCGAGUAGGCGGUAGUUUGCGCGGAGAUGCUAGGUCAUGGCUCAAUGAAUGGGUAACAAGUGACCGUUCAUGGAGCAAUUUUAAAAGCGAGUUCAGAUCAUUAUGUCCACGUAAGAUCGAUUUAGCUACUAUAUUAUAUGACGUAAUGAAUACGAGCUCGGAUAGAUUUGUUACAUACGCGGAAUACGCGAGUAAGUCGCUUCUACGCUUGAAUGUCGUCACGGGAUUGUCAGAAGAGUUGAAAGUUGCCAUUAUUGCACGGGGCAUUACCGAUCCCCUCAUUAAAGCUGCAACGGUCAACUCCAAGCCAUCGUCAAAACAAUUAGUCGAGUUUUUGUCCGCGUUUGUUAAACCCAAAACUAAUGCCAACUCCAACAAUGCUGUUCGUUCCGUUAAAAAUGUAGGCACAUGUCAGCCGUCAAACCACGGCUUCAAUAGGAACGUUAACAGUCAUACGAACAACAGAUGCCGCAUUUGUCGUGGCACCGGGCACUUUACGUAUCAAUGUAGUCGCAGAGCUUUUGAUAGACCGGCACAGCAACAUAGAAUAAAAUCAAACUUUGCUAGUUCUAAGCCUGUAUCUUCCGCCGCGAGCGAUAACAGGCCUGUAAGACAAUGCUCUUUUUGCAAGCGUUUGGGACACACCGUGGACAACUGUUUUCAAAAGCAGCGGUCCGACGCUUUCAAUGGGCGCAGCGUUACCGAAGUAAAUUUUUGCUCAGACUCGAAGCCGGACGUGCAAACGUGAUGCAGGCGGUAGUGCAGAAAGUACCAGUUGACAUUAUGAUAGAUAGUGGUUCCGAUAUUUCUUUGAUUUCAGAAUCGGUUCUUAAACACUUCAAUUUGAAUAGAAAACCGUGUUAUCGAGUAAUGCGAGGUAUAGGUAGUCAGGAGAUUCAAUCUACUUCCUUUGUUACAACUGUAGUCGAGCUGCCUGAAGUCUCGUUAGCAGUAGACUUAUAUGUAGUCCCGACUGAAUGCAUUAGUGCCCCUAUCUUAAUUGGUACAGACGUCUUAAACCGCAAAGGGGUUACCUAUAUAAGAGCAAACGGUGAACAACGAUUAACUAGAUCAGACAUGUCACAAGUGGAACACGUAUCUACUGUGGAGGCACGAGACGUUAAAACAACUUUAUUAGGCGAAGAGAAAAAGCUUUUGCUAGAUUUGAUAGCCGAAUUUAAGGAUUCCUUUAUUAAUGGAACGGCAACAACCACAAUAAAUACGGGUUGCAUGGAGAUUAAGUUAAAAUCCGAUGUUCCUGUAAAUCAACGACCGUAUAGGCUUUCCAUAGACGAAAAAAAUAGGGUUCGUAAUAUUAUUAAUGAUUUGCUUGCAAAGGGCAUCAUACGUGAGUCCCAAUCGGAAUAUGCUAGCCCUAUUAUUCUAGUUAAGAAAAAGGAUGGCAGUGAUAGAAUGUGUGUCGAUUAUCGCGCGCUCAAUUCUAUAACCGUUAAAGAGAGAUUUCCUCUGCCGCGAAUAGACGACCACAUCGACAAACUUGGUAAAUACAUAUGUCGUCACGGGAUUGUCAGAAGAGUUGAAAGUUGCCAUUAUUGCACGGGGCAUUACCGAUCCCCUCAUUAAAGCUGCAACGGUCAACUCCAAGCCAUCGUCAAAACAAUUAGUCGAGUUUUUGUCCGCGUUUGUUAAACCCAAAACUAAUGCCAACUCCAACAAUGCUGUUCGUUCCGUUAAAAAUGUAGGCACAUGUCAGCCGUCAAACCACGGCUUCAAUAGGAACGUUAACAGUCAUACGAACAACAGAUGCCGCAUUUGUCGUGGCACCGGGCACUUUACGUAUCAAUGUAGUCGCAGAGCUUUUGAUAGACCGGCACAGCAACAUAGAAUAAAAUCAAACUUUGCUAGUUCUAAGCCUGUAUCUUCCGCCGCGAGCGAUAACAGGCCUGUAAGACAAUGCUCUUUUUGCAAGCGUUUGGGACACACCGUGGACAACUGUUUUCAAAAGCAGCGGUCCGACGCUUUCAAUGGGCGCAGCGUUACCGAAGUAAAUUUUUGCUCAGACUCGAAGCCGGACGUGCAAACGUGAUGCAGGCGGUAGUGCAGAAAGUACCAGUUGACAUUAUGAUAGAUAGUGGUUCCGAUAUUUCUUUGAUUUCAGAAUCGGUUCUUAAACACUUCAAUUUGAAUAGAAAACCGUGUUAUCGAGUAAUGCGAGGUAUAGGUAGUCAGGAGAUUCAAUCUACUUCCUUUGUUACAACUGUAGUCGAGCUGCCUGAAGUCUCGUUAGCAGUAGACUUAUAUGUAGUCCCGACUGAAUGCAUUAGUGCCCCUAUCUUAAUUGGUACAGACGUCUUAAACCGCAAAGGGGUUACCUAUAUAAGAGCAAACGGUGAACAACGAUUAACUAGAUCAGACAUGUCACAAGUGGAACACGUAUCUACUGUGGAGGCACGAGACGUUAAAACAACUUUAUUAGGCGAAGAGAAAAAGCUUUUGCUAGAUUUGAUAGCCGAAUUUAAGGAUUCCUUUAUUAAUGGAACGGCAACAACCACAAUAAAUACGGGUUGCAUGGAGAUUAAGUUAAAAUCCGAUGUUCCUGUAAAUCAACGACCGUAUAGGCUUUCCAUAGACGAAAAAAAUAGGGUUCGUAAUAUUAUUAAUGAUUUGCUUGCAAAGGGCAUCAUACGUGAGUCCCAAUCGGAAUAUGCUAGCCCUAUUAUUCUAGUUAAGAAAAAGGAUGGCAGUGAUAGAAUGUGUGUCGAUUAUCGCGCGCUCAAUUCUAUAACCGUUAAAGAGAGAUUUCCUCUGCCGCGAAUAGACGACCACAUCGACAAACUUGGUAAAUACAUAUUUUUCACUAGUCUCGACAUGGCCACAGGAUUUCACCAAUUGCCUUUAAAAGAUGAUGCUUCCAUCAGUAAAACAGCCUUUGUUACACCUGACGGGCACUUUGAGUACCUGAAAAUGCCCUACGGACUCGCCAAUGCUCCCGUUGUAUAUCAAAGGGUUAUAUCAAAGACGCUAAAGCCUCUUAUCGACGCUGGUAAAGUCAUAACGUAUGUUGAUGACGUUUUAAUCCUGUCGAAUACGGUAGCUGAAGGGCUUAAUAACUUGCGAGAAGUCUUACAGACGCUAGCCUCUGCAGGCUUUUCAGUGAAUCUAAAGAAGUGCACCUUUUUAACUACCGAAGUCGAAUAUCUUGGUAGACUAGUUGGACAGGGUCAGGUACGACCGAGCCCAGGUAAAGUUGAGGCUCUUGUUAAAUCUCCAAGACCAACCAGCGUGAGAGAGGUCCGUCAGUUUUUAGGAUUGGCAGGGUAUUUUCGGCGUUACAUCGCUGGAUAUUCCUCCAAAACUGCAUGUAUUGCUAAACUUCUCAGGAAAGGUAUACCGUUUGAGUGGGGUGCUGAGCAGGAAGCAUCUCGCGAGUACAUUUUGCAGUGUUUAACUACCGAACCAGUUUUAGCGAUUUUUGAUCCAGAGUUACCCACGGAACUGCACACCGACGCCAGCGCUGUGGGACUCGGUGCGAUUCUGCUACAGGAGCAUGCUGGCAAAAGGAAGAGGGUGGUUGGUUACUUUAGUAGAUCCACUCGGGGCGCUGAAACGAGGUAUCACAGUUACGAAUUGGAGACUUUAGCGGUAGUUCGAGCACUGCAACAUUUUCGGCAUUACUUAAUUGGUGUUAACUUUAAAAUUGUCACUGAUUGCAACUCGCUGAAGCUCACUGAAAAAAAAAAGGACCUGGUACCUCGGGUCGCACGCUGGUGGGUGUACCUACAAGAUUUUCAAUUUACAAUUGAGUAUAGGAAAGGUGUUCUUAUGCAACACGCAGACUUCUUAAGCCGCCAUCCUCCUGUCGUGGUGUCGCAUAUUCGCGAUCAUAAUAAUUGGGCGAAGAUCGCUCAAACUGCUGACGAGGAGACACAAGAUUUAAUGAGUAAGUUAAGAGAUGGGUUACUCGAUCCUUGUAGAUAUGAAAUUAAGAAUAACCUGCUGUAUUAUAAAUACUCUUCAACUGGGGCCGAUUCGCGUCUACUAUGCUUCAUACCUAAAGGACAUAGACUCAGCUUGUUAAGAUUAUUCCACUGAUUUAAUAUUGCGAAAUUUCUGGUUUCCGGGUUUACGCCAAUUUGUCAGAAAAUACAUUGGUCAUUGUCUUAUCUGUUUAUCGCACAAAAAGGUACCUGCAGGCCCUUCUCAACCAAUUGAAUCUUGGACUAAACCCGAAAAUCCUUUCUCAAUUAUUCAUACUGAUAUACUAGGACCGCUACCUGUAUCUAAUGGCUACAAAUAUAUACUAAUUGUUGUAGACGCUUUCUCUAAAUAUUGUUUGCUAUAUGCAAUGUAUAGACAAGAUUGUGAAGAGUUGAAGCGAGUAUUUUUAAACGUCGUGUCACUAUUUGGCACGCCAGAAACGAUUGUUUGUGAUCGCGGUAGAAUGUUCGAAAGUGCUACAUUUAAAAACUGUAUUAGUGAACUAGGCUCUUCUAUACAUUUCAUAACUCCGGGAAUGCAUCGCGAGAACGGCCAAGCCGAACGCUACUGCAGAACCGUUCUUAAUUUACUACGAGUCGAAGUUGGUAGCAAAGGCUCCCAAUGGUCUGAUGUGCUGUGGAAAGCACAGCUUACUUUAAACAUCACGAAGCAGACGACCACGCAGGCUUCACCACUUCAGCUCCUUAUUGGUAUAGAGGCAGCUACUCCAGUCAUUAGAGAUCUGGUGCGCGAUGUUGCGUUAGACGCCAAUUCUAACCGUGAAGCUUUACUAACCCUCAGUCGACAGAAAGCAUCCGAAUUACUAUUGGACAAUCAACGGCGACAAGACGAACAGGUCAACGAACGUCGGCGCCAGCCCACAACGUUUGCUGUGGGUGACUUCGUGUUCGUCAACAAGGCAACACAGUCAACGGGCAAACUCGACUCCGGGAUGCGCGGCCCUUACAAGGUCUUGCGCACGCUUCCACAUCACCGUUACGAGCUGGAGCUUCUCGCCGGUUCCUACGGCAAAAAGACACAAGCGGCCGCCCAAUGUAUGGUGUUGUGGCGCGGCGAGUGGACCCCGGAGACAUGCAGCGCUUUCUUUGAAACUGAGGGUGAACUUAUUGAUGCGACUUCUGACGUAGCUGGAAGAGGCCUUCCUCUAUUGAGAGAUGAGGCGGUCGAGGACGCCUCGCCAUCAGGAACGGCCGUAUUACCGAGUCCAGGCAACCCCCGACCGGAAACACUAUAAAAGCGAGCCUUCGGUGCCCUUCGCCCCUUAUUUUUGUGCGUGGCGUUCGUGCGUGGCGGUUCUUGUCGAGACUUGUGUAAUUUUAAGUUUUGUUAACAGUAGAUUAAAGCCAUUUUGUUAGUUUUCGCUAUUUACCUACUAAAAUAUAUUGUGUUCUAGUUCUAUGUAA